AAUCCGUGGUGAGGGCAUUUGUUCGUGUAGCUAUAUUGAAUCGUUCCCAUGCUUCACUGAAACUCUCGUUUCCCCUUUGAGAAAAGCUCGAUAUAUAGUUUCUGAGCUU
rnacentral:snoRNA from 1 species